rnacentral:misc_RNA from 1 species
AAUACACUUGAAAUCCUUUGAAGAAACACUAAGAUGAAUAUGCAGCCACACUAAGGUUGUGCCAAACAAAUCUCCAACUUGAGUAACUCCUUGAUACCAUAGGGUAUGAUGCUAUAAAGAACUCAAUUCUUCAACUUAAAAACAGUCAUAAGUAUGCUAUGAUAUAUGCACAAUGGUAGCUUCCUUGUACUUGAAAAAACCUAAGGAAUCUUUAAUGCAAAAAUCUCUACAUUUUCUUGAGUAAUAUUCGGCCACUAUGAGAGAGAGG